CCUGUCCAAAAAACUCAAGCUGGUGAGUUCUGUCUACAGAACAGUGCAGCCAAAUACCUGCGUCUCACUCUGCGCUGUCUUCUGAGGUCGCAAGAGCACA